UUUCCGUAGGUGAACCUGCGGAAGGAUCAUUACUGAGUGAGGGCCCCUCGGGGUCCAACCUCCCACCCGUGUUUAACGAACCUUGUUGCUUCGGCGGGCCCGCCUCACGGCCGCCGGGGGGCAUCUGCCCCCGGGCCCGCGCCCGCCGAAGCCACCUGUGAACGCUGUCUGAAGUAUGCAGUCUGAGCCAAUUAUUAAAUUAAUUAAAACUUUCAACAACGGAUCUCUUGGUUCCG
rnacentral:misc_RNA from 1 species